GACGAACGCUGGCGGCGUGGAUUAGGCAUGCAAGUCGAACGGUAUCAUCCUUUCGGGGGUGAGAGAGUGGCGAACUGGUGAGUAACACGUAGGUUAUCUACCCUCAAGACGGGGACAACCCAGGGAAACUUGGACUAAUACCGGAUGUGAGCAACUUUUAGUUGUUUGAAAGGUGGCGUAAGCUGUCGCUUGGGGAUGAGCCUGCGUCCUAUUAGUUAGUUGGUGAGGUAACGGCUCACCUAGGCAAUGAUAGGUAGGCGGCCUUAACGGGUGGUCGCCCACACUGGGAUUGAGAUACGGCCCAGACUCCUACGGGAGGCAGCAGUCGAGAAUAGUCUACAAUGGUCGGAAGACUGAUAGUGCGACGCCGCGUGAACGAUGAAUCCCUUCGGGGUUAAAGUUCUUUUAUAUGUGAGCAGUGCUUCUUAUAUUAACAGUAUGGGGAAGAGAUAUUAGCAUAUGAAUAAGCAACGGCUAACUCCGUGCCAGCAGCCGGGUAAA
rnacentral:rRNA from 1 species